AAUCCGUGUUGUGGACAAUUCCUCAAGAGAUCCUUGAAUCAUUCCCAUGUCUCAAACAAGGACUCAAGCUCCAUCUUAACAAAUCAUGAUAUCUCAUUACGAAGUUU